CAGUGGGGAAUCUUGCACAAUGGGCGAAAGCCUGAUGCAGCCAUGCCGCGUGAAUGAUGAAGGCCUUAGGGUUGUAAAAUUUUUUCGCCAGGGAUGAUAAUGACAGUACCUGGUAAAGAAGCCCCGGCUAACUUCGUGCCAGCAGCCGCGGUAAUACGAAGGGGGCUAGCGUUGUUCGGAAUUACUGGGCGUAAAGCGCACGUAGGCGGACUUUUAAGUCUCAGGGGAAAACCCGGGGGUCUCCCUCGGAAAAUCAUUUGAAAUUGGACGUGUAGAGACCAGGAGAGGUUAGCGGAAUACCGAGUGUAGAGGUGAAAUUCGUAGAUAUUCGGUGGAACACCAGUGGCGAAGGCGGCUAACUGGACUGGUACUGACGCUGAGGUGCGAAAGUGUGGGGAGCAAACAGGAUUAGAUACCCUGGUAGUCCACACCGUAAACGAUGAGAGCUAGUUGUUGGCAGGCAUGCCUGUCGGUGACGCAGCUAACGCAUUAAGCUCUCCGCCUGGGGAGUACGG
rnacentral:rRNA from 1 species